AUUUUUAUGAAUGUUUAAAGUUGCUCAAAAAAUCAGGUACUACUAUCAAAGCAAGGUUUCCCAACAGUCCAAGCCAGCUCUUUGGAGAAGCAAGUAUUCAUGCAGUCAGUUCUAAGAGCCCGCGGAGACAAAGAAACCCUCAGACAUAAAGUAUCCGAGUUCUCAUUAAUAUGUCGAGGAUUUCACGGAACUAUUUAUGCAAUUGAAACUUCGAGGAGUCUACCAUAGCAUCAUUAUACUGUUAGUAAAAUACUGACAAUCGAAAUCAAGAGGAGUUAAUACAUGUACUGUACAUUAGAAUCAUUUUUAUAUUAAAAAUUGGUAGUGCGAAAAUUAUUGAUAAGAAAUGUGUAUAUGUGUAAUAUAUUAUAGUAAUUAUUAUUGAUGUUGGUACUGUUGAUUAAAUUAGUGUUAUUUUAUUGUUUUAUUUUUUGUUGCUACACAUAAUUGUUAAAAUUGCUGUACAUACAGAAUAAUAUCAUCAUUCAAUCAUUGUUUCCUUUACAUAAUCUUUUUUGUUGUUUAUUAAUAAUUAAUAUUAUUAGUGAGGUUAUGGGUCUGUGCAUAAUCUGGCCACAA